CGUGUUUCAUUGUUUCGCAAUAUUAUAGACCGAAUAAACAUUCUUGAAAUAAUCUAACAUUUUUAUAUCGACUUUCUAUAAUUCAAACCAUCAAAUUGAGACACCUUUAAACAUGUUUUUUGAGAAAAAGUUGUUGGAAUGGAAAGUAUAUUGCAAAUAUAAUGAACCCCUGAAGUCAUCAAAGAACAGACAUAUUUUUUAAAACCACUCCUAUGGUGCCAAAAU
ensembl:ncRNA F13C5.8 ncRNA